rnacentral:rRNA from 1 species
CCUACGGGAGGCUGCAGUGAGGAAUAUUGCGCAAUGGACGAAAGUCUGACGCAGCCAUGCCGCGUGAAGGAUUGAAGGCCCUAUGGGUUGUAAACUUCUUUUGUAUAGGAAAAAACCCCCUGACGUGUCGGGGGCUGAUGGUACUAUAAGAAUAAGCACCGGCUAACUCCGUGCCAGCAGCCGCGGUAAUACGGAGGGUGCAAGCGUUUUCCGGAUUUAUUGGGUUUAAAGGGACUGUUGAGUCAGUAUUGAAAGCCCACAGCUCAACUGUGGAAUUGCCGUUGAUACUGGUAGUCUUGAGUGCGUAUGAAGUUGGCGGAAUGUGUGGUGUAGCGGUGAAAUGCUUAGAUAUCACACAGAACACCGAUUGCGAAGGCAGCUGACUAAUACGUAACUGACGCUCAGGGACGAAAGUGUGGGGAUCAAACAGGAUUAGAUACCCCAGUAGUC